AUGCUGACGUCAAUUACUGUGUACGACAUUGGAACUCACAGUGUUAGAGAUCGAGAGAGCAUUGUGUUUACCAGAUAUGUGGAGGGAUCGGGAACCAUGGUAACUGUCACAAUGGAUCCGCCAACGAAAUUUUAUGUGUCUCAGAGUCCAUCACAACAACACCCUGCUGUCGGUGAUACAGUUUCUUUGAAUUGCGAAUAUUCCGCCUUCUGUUCGUACACAGUACACUGGUACCGGCAGUUCCCAGGGCAGACUCCGGUAUACCUGAUCCAGAGACAGUGGUAUGGAGAUGAGAAUAAGGAAACGUCCGUCAGGGAUGGAAUUGAUGCUUCAGUUGAUCAUGUCAAGAAAAUCAGCCGUUUAACCAUCUCCAAGCUUCAAUUGAGCGAUUCAGCUGUGUAUCACUGUGCACUGAGCCCGCGCGCAGCACAAUGA